GGCUGGUCCGAUGGUAGUGGGUUAUCAGAACUUAUUCACAUUAGUGUCACUAAAGUUGGUAUUCAACCCCCCACUGCUAAAUUUGACUGGCUUAAA
ensembl:misc_RNA Y_RNA Y RNA